UGAGUGAAUGCCUAAGUGAAACAGAGUUUGAAUUGAUUACCUAUAUGGAUACUACCCAUUUCUUAGCCACUAAGAUCUUCGUUGCCAUGAUAAAUUUUCCCAAGAUGAAAAUAUCCAUAUUCAGCUCAUCAGCAUUAUUGAUUUCAGAUCCACCAUGAAGAGAAGAGUAAAGAGUUGACACUAGGGAAAUCGUUCUCUCUGCACUUAGAGACCAGCUCACGCUAGGAAAGAUGGAACCCACAGAAAGAUCUGGCUCUCCCAGCUGAACUGAUACCUCUUGAUCUACCCAGAGUUCUUGCCCUGAACCCACUUAAUAGAGAACAU
rnacentral:lncRNA from 1 species